UACCAAAGCACAGUGAGUUGCUUGCAAGUCACUGAGGCGAUCUCAAGUCUAAGGGAUACUUAUACCUAUAUCCCAUCAGAGACAUUCUUGAUAGUAGAAUAUUCUGGAGUUGGUCACGUUCAAUGAUGAUGUACCAGUAUAUCUCACCUGUAUGCCAUACCAGUGUCUCCACACUCUUUGGUUAAGAGGGCAACCAACCCAUAUGGCCUACAGCGACC
rnacentral:lncRNA from 1 species